rnacentral:rRNA from 1 species
UAACACAUGCAAGUACGAACGGUAACUUUGAGAAUGUAAGUUUUCGGAUGAUUUUUCAAAGUUUUAGUGGCGAACGGGUGAGUAAUGCAUGAGCAACCUGCCCUUCAGUGGGGGACAACAGUUGGAAACGACUGCUAAUACCGCAUAACGUGCCUUGAGGGCAUCCUCGAGGCACCAAAGAUUUAUCGCUGAAGGAUGGGCUCGCGUCCGAUUAGCUAGUUGGUGAGGUAACGGCUCACCAAGGCGACGAUCGGUAGCCGAACUGAGAGGUUGAUCGGCCGCAUUGGGACUGAGACACGGCCCAGACUCCUACGGGAGGCAGCAGUGGGGGAUAUUGCACAAUGGAGGAAACUCUGAUGCAGCAACGCCGCGUGAGGGAAGAAGGUCUUCGGAUUGUAAACCUAAGUUAUCAGGGACGAUUAUGACGGUACCUGAAGAGAAAGCUCCGGCUAACUACGUG